UCCAUGCUUGCUGGCUGAGGGCGGGCCCAGGCCGGGGAGGCGCUGGCUCUCAGCCCUCCUUUCUGCUAGAAGGAUGGACCCGAGAAGGGCGGCUUCGCUGCAGGGUGUCUCCCAGGGGUCCCCAGUGCUGAGGUCCAGUUCCUGUGGAAUUCCCAGGCAAAGUCGGUGAAGUGGAAACAGCCUGGAAGAUAGAAUGCUGCUUCCUGUGACUAAUUCUGCCAACACAUACAGGCCGUUGCUUCCCUGGUUGUUCAGAGGAGAGAUGCUGAGAUUUAGAAGAUAUGUUUAGAAUUGGGAGUAGCAAUUCUCUCUGAGGAGCAUUUCUCCAUUCCACAUCAUUGGAAGAGCUGGGCCAGUAAUAUCAGUGGGAAGUAAGGAGUGAACUCAAUCAGAAUGUCUCUGCUCUGGUCGAACCUCUACUAUGGUGAGAAAGAAGCAUCCUGCUCAACUACCACUCUCAAGCCCCAACUGUUACUAUGAAAAAAAAAACAAAAAAACAAAACAACAACAA